rnacentral:rRNA from 1 species
AGGGCACCACCAGGAGUGGAGCCUGCGGCUUAAUUUGACUCAACACGGGGAAACUCACCCGGCCCGGACACCGUAAGGAUUGACAGAUUGAUAGCUUUUUCAUGAUUCGGUGGAUGGUGGUGCAUGGCCGUUCUUAGUUCGUGGAGCGAUUUGUCUGGUUUAUUCCGAUAACGAGCGAGGCUCUGGCCUACUAAAUAGUUGGCGCAUUGCUACUGUGCGCACAACACUUCUUAGAGGGAUUUUCGGUGUUCAGCCGCACGAAAUUGAGCAAUAGCAGGUCUGUGAUGCCCUUAGAUGUCCGGGGCUGCACGCGCGCUACACUGGCAAAAUCAGCGUGCUUGUCCUUCCCCGAAAGGGGUUGGCAAACCCGUGAAAAUUUGCCGUGAUUGGGAUCGGACAUUGCAAUUAUUGUCCGUGAACGAGGAAUUCCUUGUAGGGGCGAGUCAUCAACUCGCUCUGAAUACGUCCCUGCCCUUUGUACACACCGCCCGUCGCUGCCCGGGACUGAGCCAUUUCGAG